rnacentral:rRNA from 1 species
UACGAAGGGGGCUAGCGUUGCUCGGAAUCACUGGGCGUAAAGGGUGCGUAGGCGGGUCUCUAAGUCAGGGGUGAAAUCCUGGAGCUCAACUCCAGAACUGCCUUUGAUACUGAAGAUCUUGAGUUCGGGAGAGGUGAGUGGAACUGCGAGUGUAGAGGUGAAAUUCGUAGAUAUUCGCAAGAACACCAGUGGCGAAGGCGGCUCACUGGCCCGAUACUGACGCUGAGGCACGAAAGCGUGGGGAUCAAACAGG